UACGUAGGGGGCAAGCGUUGUCCGGAUUUAUUGGGCGUAAAGAGCUCGUAGGCGGUUCCGUAAGUCGUGAAGUCAAAUCUCUGGGCUCAACCCAGAGUCGCUUCCGAUACUGCGGUGACUGGAGUCCGGUAGGGGAGUGUGGAAUUCCUGGUGUAGCGGUGAAAUGCGCAGAUAUCAGGAGGAACACCAACAGCGAAGGCAGCACUCUGGGCCGGUACUGACGCUGAGGAGCGAAAGCAUGGGGAGCGAACAGG
rnacentral:rRNA from 1 species